GCGUUAGUGGUGUAACGGUAACAUUCAACCCUUCCAUGAUCUCCGCCGCGAGGUGAAAGAUUGCGAGGUUGGGCCCUGGGUUCGACUCCCAGCUAACGCA